rnacentral:rRNA from 1 species
GACGAACGCUGGCGGCGUGCUUAACACAUGCAAGUCGAACGAUGAAGCCUAGCUUGCUAGGUGGAUUAGUGGCCAACGGGUGAGUAAUACGUGAGUAACCUACCUUUAACUCUGGGAUAAGCCUGGGAAACUGGGUCUAAUACCGGAUACGACCAAUCUCCGCAUGGGGUGUUGGUGGAAAGCGUUAUGUAGUAGUUAUAGAUGGGCUCACGGCCUAUCAGCUUGUUGGUGAGGUAACGGCUCACCAAGGCGACGACGGGUAGCCGGCCUGAGCGGGUGACCGGCCACACUGGGACUGAGCGACGGCCCAGACUCCUACGGGAGGCAGCAGUGGGGAAUAUUGCACAAUGGGCGCAAGCCUGAUGCAGCGACGCCGCGUGAGGGAUGACGGCCUUCGGGUUGUAAACCUCUGUUAGCAGGGAAGAAGAGAAAUUGACGGUACCUGCAGAGAAAGCGCCGGCUAACUACGUG